UACGUAGGGGGCAAGCGUUAUCCGGAUUUAUUGGGCGUAAAGAGCUCGUAGGCGGCCGUUCGCGUCGGAUGUGAAAGCUCAGGGCUCAACUCUGAGAUGCCAUUCGAUACGGGACGGCUAGAGGUAGGUAGGGGAGAGUGGAAUUCCUGGUGUAGCGGUGAAGUGCGCAGAUAUCAGGAGGAACACCGGUGGCGAAGGCGGGUUGCUGGGCUGACACUGACGCUGAGGCGCGAAAGCCAGGGGAGCGAACGGG
rnacentral:rRNA from 1 species